AGCUUUAUAUUCAUUAAUGAUAUAAAAUUGCAAAUUUUAAGGUGUAAUAAUUACUAAGGCUU
rnacentral:tRNA from 1 species